CCACCCCCGGGGUUGCCUCCUUACGAUUUGCCUGCCACGUCAUGGGUACUCUGUUAUAGAAGUGGAGUAUGAACAUCAUAGAUACACAGACUAAUGGGAAGGAGCUCCCUCUGAAAAUCCACAACGGACAGCUACCAUGUCAAAGGACACUGUAACCUUCAAACACCGUUUCCAGUGUUUAGUGGGCAGCCCAUCUUGAGAUACAGAAAUGAGCAGCGACCCUGUGCAGUCAUCGACCGGCCCCUCGCUCCGCCGAGACUGCAGCGCCGUAAGGACAGCUCCACAGCAGAGAUCUGACGUAACUCUUUGCGGCACAGUUUGACAGGCUUGACCCCCUGAAGCGGUCCUAUACUUCUCACAGCCUGAAACUGGGAUGGUGGUGGACUCUGAGAGUGUGUGAAGGGACGGGCCUCUGUUUUAUCAACAUUGCUCUGCAGCUGGCCACUGGAGGGUGCUAACGAGCCAUGGUCUGGAAUUCUAGAUGCCCAUUUUAGUUCUUCAGAAAGCACAGCUGUCUCCUCUGGGUUCAGAACUCCAUCUCCAGCAUCAUGAUCUAAAGAGAACCCGACACCAAACAAAACAAGCAAACACCAUCUUCUGAAAACCAGGUCAGCUCUGUGUUCCUGAGCGUCAAGGCUGAGCCUCUACAAUGAAGCUGAGGCAGACUCAGCCAGCAGUGGCUGAGCUGUCUGUCUGGUUACCAGCCAUGUUCUCAGGAUUGUCAGGAUUUCCGGACCUCCUGCUCUCCAGUUCAAGAAACAGAAGUUGCCAUGGUCAUAGAGUAGUAGAGCCCUAACUAAGAAGUUGAUACCUGGGACUGGGGUAUUGCAAUGGGCUGACCAUGCUUUUGUUUGGGUGAAUGUGGACUUUGGACUAGAAAAGCAGUGGCCAGUCUCAUGCAGCUCUGUAAUGAAAAGGAGCAAGCGGAGCGAGGGAAGAUAUCAAAUGUCCACUUUAAGGAGAAAGGGGGAGCAGGAGGUGUAAACAGAGGAAAGACAAGCCAGAUGCCAAGUGGAAUAAAGGGAGCGCUGGCCUCAGAGCAAGGCCCGCCCAGCUCAGCUGCCAACUUGUGAAAAGGAAUGAAGAAACCCUUAGGGCCAGGCAUGGUGGUGCACACCUUUAACCCUGGCGCUCUGAAGGCAGAGGAUGGUGGAUCUCUGAGUUGACUUUAAAAUCAAAGGAACAAGAAAGGUGUUAUGGCAUCUCCUUCUGUGGAAAGGAAAGCUGCUGAGGCCAGGUGUGUGUCAGGGAUGUCUCUGCAUGGCAGUUCAGAGAGGCCAUUUCGUGAAGCUGUGAAAGAAACCUGGAUUGCCUUGGAGACCCUGAAGUAUUGGAGAUACAAGAGCUGUGGGACACCUGCUGAGGAGAGCUGCUAACAGGGAGUGGAACCAGCCCAAGAGAUUAGCAGGGAGUGGAACCAGCCCAAGAGAGAGAAGUGUUACAGUCAACAAACUCAGCAAAGCAGAGAGGAGUUGGAGAUCUGGAGUGCUUUGACAUCAGACAUGGAAGUGCAGAGUUUGGAGUUUGCCCGGCUGGUUUUCUGUCUCGCUUUGACCCAGUGCUUCCUCACUCUGCUCCCUUCCCUCCCCUUUGCAAUGGUGAUUAUAUCCUGUGUCAUCGUGUGUUGGAA